UUGCUCGCUUCAGUAGCACAUAUACUAAAAUGGUAAUGAUACAGAGAAGAUUAGUAUGGCCCCUUAAAAAAAAUCACCUUAGGGCUUGUUAAAACACGCAUUCCU
rnacentral:snRNA from 1 species